GGGUUCCUACCGAGAUGGUUUUCCUUAGCUCGACCCCGGCUGUCGUGCGAGCAAAAUAUGUUUACGCUGCAAACCUCUGGUUGGAGCGGCUGCCAAGCGGGCAGGGAAUGUGUGUGUGUGUUGUGUGUGUGUUGAUAAGGGUGUUGUGUCCUCGCCUUCCCCCUCACCCCAGAGCUGGGGAGGCCACCCGACUCCCAACACCCUCAUUUUAUGAUUUCUUUGAUUAUUAUAAGGCUGGAAGAAAAAAAAAAAGCACCAAACAAACCAAUAAUUCAAUAGCUGCGCUGGGUGCUUGCCAAAGCCUGGAAAGCUUCAGCGGUGCCAGAGGCUGAGCUGCCCCUUGGGCUGCUGGCCCUGAGCUCAGCCAGCUCCAAGUGUUAGAAGUGCAGAAAGAAAAAGAAUUCCUGCUGUUGUCCGGGUGUUUCUCACGUGGCAGCAGGAAAAGGAGCUCUCGGGCGGUUGCAGCAAACGAGCUGGGGCUGACGCGAGCAGGAAAGAGCCGGGGGUGCUGGGUCCUGUUUGCGAACUGGAGCUGCAGUUGUUGUUGUUGUGACACCGAAAGGUUGCGAAACGCCGGAGCUGCAAUACCCGUGACUUUCAAAAACAAGCCGAGCCCAGGCACGGCUGUCUGGCUGUCUGUCCAUCCAGCUGUGCCCACCCAUCCAGCUGUGCCCACCCAUCCAGCUGUGCCCCCUGCAGCCACCUCCCCGCUGCACAGGGAUGGCUGUGCCAGCAAGAGUUGGGGUGUUUGGUUUGCUUUUGGGUGUUUUUUUUUGGGGGGGUUGUGGGGUUAAAACCCAAAAGCUAUUUUGAAAGAGGAAAAGCCCAAAUUCCCCCACCUAAGGAGGUUUUUCUACCCCACGGAUCUGCUGGUUGGUCCUGGGGGGGGGGGUUGAGCCGCCUGAAUUCUGUUUAAAGAAUAAACAAAA